UUUAUUGGAGAGUUUGAUCCUGGCUCAGGACGAACGCUGGCGGCGUGCUUAACACAUGCAAGUCGAACGAGGCAGAUUUUCAACACUGAGUACUUGAUAAAGUCACUUCAAGCGUCAUUGCGACGAAGUCGCAAUUCCACUUUUAUAAAGUGCUUAACUAAAGAUCGAGUAUUGAGUGUUGAAAAGAUGCCGAGUGGCAAACGGGUGAGUAACGCGUAGAUAACCUGCCGCAAAGAUGGGGACAACAGUCCGAAAGGACUGCUAAUACCGAAUGUUGUAUUGUUUCCGCAUGGAGAUGAUAUUAAAGAUGGCCUCUACUUGUAAGCUAUCGCUUUGUGAUGGGUCUGCGUCUGAUUAGCUAG
rnacentral:rRNA from 1 species